GAACGCACAUUGCGCCCCCUGGUAUUCCGGGGGGCACACCUGUUCGAGCGCCAUUUCUACCCUGGAGCCCUGCUCUGUGAUGGGCCCCGUCCUCGCGGACGGGCCCGAAACCCGUGGGCGCCGUCGUCCGGCCCCGAGCGUAGCAAGAGAAAUCCCUCGCUCGGAGAGUCUGGCGGUGGCCGCCCCGACCCAUUUUUACAAGGUUGGCCUCGGAUCAGGUGGGGAUACCCGCUGAACUUAAG
rnacentral:misc_RNA from 1 species